rnacentral:tRNA from 1 species
GCCAGUAUGGUAUAGUGGUUUGAAUGUUGGGCUCUGACUCUGGAGAUCAGGGUUCAAUUCCCUGGUUGGUCA